ensembl:lincRNA
AGUUGGUCUCUGAGGCGGCGGCGGUAACAGUCUCUCUCAGGUGAUCCUGCUCGGUCGCGGCGCCAUGCCUCUCGAUCGUCAGGUGGCCAUGGGGAACUUUGGCAAUCAGGACAUCCUGGCCGUCUUCUACCGCCUGCGCUUCGCGGUUAGCAACCACCUAGCGGCCGCCAGGCGAGCCCGGAACCCGGCAAUGGACGUGGGAGGAGGAAGAGGAGGCGCCCGGUUGGUCAACGGUCGUAUUCGCCCACGCGGGUUCUGAGUGACUUGGCCGACUGCUCGCCCUCGCCGCUUCAGCUCGUUGAAAGCAGCAGAACAAAAAAGCACUGCUACUACCACGAAGGAAGCUGGGCCACAUGCCUUUGAAGAAGGCUUGCACACCUCAUCUUUAAGUCUCUCCCUAAGAAUGGAUAGUGUGUUUUGACUACAGUGCCAAAAGUCAGAGCUGGGCAAACAUAACCUACAGGAUAUUUCUUUUCAUCAGUUGCUUGGAAUCACGUAGUGUUCACUAAAGUUUUACCUGUACGUCCAUGAUCCCAUGAAGAUAAGAGACAGGUACUUUCAUAGCUGGGAUGACAGUACCAACUGCUACUAAGAGGAGGAUGAGACACUUAGACCACUGUGACAAAGCACAAGCUCUUCAGGCAAAUGUAAGCCGCAGGACCAGGAAGCUAGAAACUACAGACUGAAGUGCCUUCUGCACCCUCCUUUCCAGCAUUCAGUUCACACGCAGAGUGGCUGGCAGGUGAUGUGUGCAGUGUGCAGAAAGGCAGGUAGGGCCAGGACAUAAGUGGGCCAGACUUGCCAGUCUGCUACUGCCUGGCCUACAGCCAGGCAGGGCUGGGCAGGAGCCAUCAGGAGCUUUGAUGCUCUGCUCCAGCUUUCAGAUGGAAAAGGCAGCCACCAAGAUGUCAGGGUCAAUCUGGCAGCGGGGAUGAGAAGGCUUCAUGAAGAGGUCUACCAAGCACUGUUCUGGGUGCAGAAGACAUGAAGCCUGGGCAGUGCUGCAUCAGACCAGAUGGAAUUCCAGAGUGCUGAGUCUGGCCAGUGCUGGCUGUGGCACCAGAAGAGAGUGACAGUGCCAGACUAUUUGGAGCUGAGAGCAUUGAGCCCACCCUGUCUGCCCUGCUCAAGCCUUCCAUGGAUGUGUUGUGAAUGUGGUAUGAAAAACUCUGAAAAGACCCAGGUGCUUCUCUUCAAACUGCUGGACUAUUUGGACACCUGCUCCAUGCUCUGAGAUGUGUUCUAAUGAAGCUCUUCUAGGAUUUCUCAUAGUUUUCCUCAUUCUGUGUUAAAAUUGUCACAUAACAGAUUUGUUCCCAUCUUCCCCUGUUCACCACACAUGCCCUGUCAUUUUCUUUUCUCCCUAGGUUUCAAAUGUAGGAGCAAGAGUUUUCAGAGCCUACAUUCUCCAUGUUCAGGUCCAGUCCCUGUGCUUCUCCAUGGCAAGUCAUUCUCCCUGUGUUUGCUCUGCCUCUCACUGGAUAGAUGUAGGUGAGAGAUGUGCACCCCAGUACUCCGUGUUUUGAAUCCCAAGAAUACAUCUACAUUGAUGGCAUAGCUAUGAGCAUAGCUGCCUUCCUCAUUCAUCACAUGCCUGUGUUCAUUUUGUCAGUGGUGAAUGUUGUGCUGUGCAACCUUCUAGCCUAGAUCUGGCCCCAGCAGCCUGUAGUAUAUGAGGCACCUUAGAGAAAAGGUCUAAAUGGGCCUUAUAAGAAAAUAAGAAUACUUUCUGUUGCAUUGUGUUUUGAGUCUUUAAGUUACAGGCACAAAGCUGCAUGAAUUAAACAUUCCUAAAGUCUGUCUACUCAGCCUCUUACACUAGUCUGUCCACAGGAAGGGCAUUG